GCAACUGCACUGGAGCCCCGAGUCUGUGCCUGGAGGGCUUCUAGAACUCAUGAAAGGGAGAGGCUCACCCAGGAGACCCAUUGCUCAGCCAUGGACUAGAUUGGAGAGUGCACGUGGGGCUGCUCCCAGGCAGCAUCUGUGGAGGUGUGAGCAGCCAGCAGCACAAGGCCGGACCCUGGAUGCUGCAGGAGCGACGGCUGCAGCUCAGCACAUCACCGUCUGUCAUCCACAUCCUCAGGGAUAGGGAUGACAUCGGCAUUGUUAUCCGGGGCAGCAUCAAUCUCCGCGACGCCACUGCGCGGAUUAUCAACCCGAAGACACUGCAUCCAACCACAGCCUGACGCACAGCCUCAGGUCAGACAGCGAGAAGGACGUGAGUCUCUUUCUCCACUUCGGGAGCUGAAUGUCUGCAUCCCUGACCAACAGAGGUGCAUCCUGAGCUCUGCAACGCGGUGCUUUUCUUCCUGAGCAAACCACCAUUUCACUGCGUUGCAUUUUUGUUCAUCUCAGUGGGUUGCGGCGAUUCCUGAAGAAAGGAAUUGCAGCUGAAUUGCAGCUGAAGAUGCAGCUCAAUUGCAGCUGAAGAAAUACCAAACCACGUGAACCUGCUGUUGUACCCUUGAAGGAAAUCCUCACCCAUGACGUGCUGUUUAUUUGCAACACAGCAAUGAAAGGGCACGGGGUGUGCUGGAAAAGUUGGGAUCUCAGCUGCUGAAAAAUGUCCUCACCGCUGAAAAUAUCACCUUAUUUGCAAUUGACGGCACCAACACUGCCUGUGGGGGAGCUGUAGGAAUUACUGGGAAGUAGAUAUGAGUAUUGCCUUUCAGUCACACACUGCAAAAAAAAAAUGGUGCAAAAUAAUAAUAAAAGAGAAGCUGCCAUCUGGUUUUGAUCGCUCUGUGAUGUCAUUUUUUAUUACUAUUUCUGGGGGGCGUUUCUGUGCGUCCCCCCGUGAGUCCCUUCCGACCCACAGCAUCCUAUGGCGCUGUGACUGAGGCCAUCGUGUCAUCUGAAUUUCUUUGCUUUCCAAGCUUUUCAGGCAUCCGGGAUUUAAUUUCACAGAUUUACGUUCGUAUUUCGAGAUUUAACAUUUUAAAAUGUCAGCAGACUGAUUUCUAGACCCUGUCUUUGAAAGGCUAUAAAACAGAUCCUCCUCGUUAGACGCUCUUGCUUUCUGUGCCCCGAGGUGCUCGCUCAUCAUUCUGCUGUUCAUAGAAUCACAGAGUCACCAAAGUUGGAGAAGACCUCCGAGAUCAUCCAGUCCAACUGUCCACCAUCCAGUCCAAACUGUCCUUUUCAUGGAGGAUGAUGGAGUCCCACCUUGCAGGGAAUUUCUUACAUGGGUUCUUAUCUCACCGGGAUGGCGCUCCGUGGGAGCAUCCCUGGCGGAGCAGAGCUGACCUCACCAGCACAGUUCUGUGAAUGAGCUGAUAAAUAACAUUGCCUUGAACUGUGAGUGAACUGUCAGUAGGAAACGUUGAAAGGAAUGGGACGACGUCCGUCCUCACUAUUGGCAGUGCUGUGGAAAUGUAGAUCCAAAGGAAAACCAUGUUCUGUACAGGGGAUUUUUACCCCUCCAAGAGAGAGCACUUCUCCUCCGUGUGAGUGCUGUGUGUUUCCACGGGAUUCUGAAAGAACAGUGAUUUCUGGAGCAAAUGUUUUACUUUGACACUCUCCUUACCCAACAAGAAACACCACCGUCAAAGAGCUCAUGACUUACUGACCGAUGUGUCUGUGCAGCACAUCCCAGCCACGUGCUCAGCCUUUUCUGCAGCACUUGUGUGCAAGCUGAGAUGGAGGGGGUCCUGGUGUACAACACCUGUGGGGGCUGCUGACAAAACUGUCCCUCCAUGGUCUUUGCAGGAGGGCAACGUGGACAAGAAUGUUGAUCAUGAAGCAAUGACACAGAUGGCAAAAGCAGUGCUCCAAGAGGAGUAUCGGGACCCCGAUGGGUCCGUGUGUCCAUCCGCCCCACACUUGGCUCCAGCACUGCAGCUGGGCAUUAAUCAGCAGCCACAGAGGGAGCGCUCAGGGAAAACCACACAUCCCUUCCUCUUAAUUGUGCUCAAGCCCACUGAAAUGAGUGGAGGGAACGCAACACUCCAUUAUUCCCAGCAAUCAAAUUAAAUGGAUGCUUGUCAUUAAAGAGUCACCAUGAGCCUUCAGUUGCCUCACUGGCAGCUCUGAUUGUGGCUGUGUUAUCACCGUGGGGGGGUGGUGAGUGGAUUCCUGCACGUGCUUUAUCCCCAGUCAAUCUCUACAGACUUCAUUUGCUGGCAUUUUAAUGAUGUUCUCGUCAGGGGAUUUGGAAAAUACCCCCCAGUCUGAUAUGCUGUAAGGGUGACCUGGUGCAUCGUGUGAUUUGUAGCCUAGGUGAGGAAAAUCAAAGCACUUCAGCUUGCUUCCACCUUCCAAAGGCAAAGCCAGCAGCAAAGUGAGCAGAGCACGGCCAGCAGCCCCAUGAGCUCAGGAGCCGUCCUUUGUGGAGUGCGGUGUGGUGUCUUUGCCUCUUUUCUUUCUUCCUUCCCCAAUGUUGGAAGCUUUUUGUUAACACUAUAGAAUCAUAGAAUCAUAGCAUUGCUCAGGUUGGAAAAGACCUUCAAGAUCAAGUCCAACCACAGCCCAACCAUCCUACCCUAACUCUAACAGCCCUCCACUAAAUCAUGUCCCUGAGCACCACAUCCAAACAGUUGUUAAACACAUCCAGGGAUGGUGACUCAACCACCUCCCUGGGCAGCCCAUUCCAGUGCUUAACAACCCUUUCUGUAAAGAAGUUUUUCCUGAAAACCCAUUAAACUCCUGUCUGUUCUAGGAAAAUUGCUACCUGGAAGAGAAGCGUGCCCACCAGCUCUCCUCCAGUAAAGGUAACGAAUCAAGCAGGCAUUCAUUAACACAUUAAAUUACUGUGACAUUGAUCGUCCAUUGUCCACUUCCUUCUGCUCUCAGCAGCCCUGUGAAAUGCAUCCACCCAUUACAGUAAAUACUUUAAAAAUUAUGAAAUGCCUCAUUUCUUGCUCAGAGAGGCUGUGGAUGCCCCAUUCUUGGAGGUAUUCAAGACCAGGUUGGAUGGAGCCCCGGGUAACUUGGUCUGGUACCAGAUCUGAGGGUUGAUGGCCCUGCUUGUGGCAGGGGGUUGGAACAUGAUGAUCCGUGGGGUCCCUUCCAACUCAAGCCAUUCUAUGCAGCAGCAGUACUGGCAGUGCCACUGCCUGGUUUUGGGGGUAGUGUGUCUGGGUGAUAAAUGGAGUUGAAGAGGAGAAUUUAUGCAUUAAUGUUAUUGCUGUUAUUGGGCUGGAAAAGAUUAUCUUUAUCUGCACUAGUCUAAUGCUGGCCUGAUCCUGUUAACCAGCUACCACAGAUGUUUAGACAAACACAUCCAUAAUCUCAAGAUGAAAAAUUAAAGGAUAUCAAAUGGGUUUUCAGAUGAAACUUGAGCACAGGAAAACAAGUUGAUAUUGUCUCUUUGGAUUUCUUUUUGGUAUACCUUUAUUUAACGUCCAUGCAAAAUACCUGUGUUCAUAUAGGCAGUUCAGCAUAUACUGGGUGACCGUGCAGCCAAAGAAAAACAUCCUCAGCACAUUAAAACUAUGACCACAGGGAAAGAUCAACUGCACUUGGAACUAAGUGCGUGUCCACAGCACAGAUCCAUGUCCUGCUCACACACUGGUAUCCAAAAUUAUAAUAUGCCAUUGCUGUGGGUUGUUAAGGCAAUGGAGAAUGAGCUCAUGCUCAGUGCCACUUAUCUCGUGCCUGCAGUGUGGAUGGGGGGGUCUCUGGGAAAGCAGGUCUUCCUGACCUCGAGUCUCAUUGUUUCUUAGAGCCAUAGAAUGUCUUUUGUUGGAAGGGACACAUACGUGUUCCCUACUUCUGUACAGUGUCACUUGGGAUCAGUCUGAACUUGUAGAGAGCAUACGGUCAGGAGGAUGAAGUGUCUCUGACCCUAUGGACUUUCCUGGUGGAUUUGGAGGGGGAUCUGUUCCCAUCAAACUUCUCCCCUGCCCUCAGCAGUGCAGGUGGAGGGAUGGGAUUUCCAUGCAGCCCAGCAGUACGGGACCUGGCAGGGAUUCGUGUCCUGCGUGUUGGAUGGGGUUCUGUGGGAGCUGCUGGGACGCUGAUCUGCCUGCUCAGAGCUGGGCAAAGAUGUGUGGAGGUCUCCAGUCCAAGCUGCCACUCAGAGCAGAACAUCUCCAGCAUUACACCAGGAUGGCUGUAAGGCUUUGCUGAGCCAAAUCUUAGAAGCCACCAAGAAUGGACACCUCCAUCUGCUCCCAAGAUCUGAACAAGGCUGGGCCAUCCUGCCGGAGAGGAAGGCUCUCCUGGUGCCAGCCCUGACCCUCCUGAGCCUCAGCCUGUGGCUACUGCUCCAGUGCCUUCACCUCCAGUUCCCUUUCAGAUAACUGUAGGAUUGAUGUCCUGCUAUUCUGCAUAACGCCCACCUCACUUCAUUUUUCAUCAUGUUGAUGUUGAGCAUCAUGUCAUCAUCCAGAUGUUGAACGAUGUGUCACUCUGGGGCCCUCACUCAUUGCCAGUUUUGAAGCAGACAUCAGUCCAUCGCUCACCACCACCUGAGCCUAUUUUCAACCACCAAAGAGCCCAUUCUGCCUCAGCUUCCAAAUAAAAUGUGGGAGAGCAUCUUGUGCCAUCUGACCCACCAGAAUCACAAACACACACUCAUUGUGCUCUGUUGUUACAAUCACUCCAUUGGUUCUCUGUGAGCAUCAUUUUAGGUCCUGAGAAUGUAUUCUGGAUGUGUUUGCUUUAAUUAACUAUCAUCAUCUCCUGCUUUCCCAAGAAAAAUGACUCACUGAUUUUACUCCAGGCGGACCAAUCACUUUUCUUUCCCUGAAACCCUAUUAAUUAAUCAAUAUUUAUAGAGAACAGUAUAUGUGAUUUGACCAAAUGUUGUUGGCCUGACCCCUGUGAGCCCAGCUGUAGCUGCAGCCCAAGGAGUUCUGCCUUUCCCUUCUGGUCCCUUACUGAACCAAUGAAGGACACUCAGAAUGUGGUUUCUUUUACACCUUGUGUGUUUUCUCAUGCAGAUGCGUAUUCAUGGCUGUUUGAUGCAGGACCUCACGUGGGUAUGUGUAUUUGCAUAAACAUUCAGAUGAGAAUA